CACAAGGAGUAUCGUCGGCAGCGUCAGAUGGGUAUAAGAGACAGGUGAAUCAUCGAAUCUUUGAACGCAUAUGGCACCUGCCAGCCCUGCUGGAAGGUAUGCCUGUUUGAGAAUCAUAUCCACAUGAUGAUCCCGUUCACACGAGCGUCAUCGACAUGGGCCCUCACCACUGAUCGCCCCGAAUUGCUCGCGGUUGUCCUGCUAGUCCAUUUGGCAAACUUGACAAUCACAAUCACCCCCCUCAUGAUCUCAAAUCAGGCAAGGCUACCCGCUGAACUUAAGCAUAUCAAUAAGCGGAGG
rnacentral:misc_RNA from 1 species